GACGAACGCUGGCGGCGUGCUUAACACAUGCAAGUCGAACGAAGAGCGAUGGAAGCUUGCUUCUCUCAAUCUUAGUGGCGAACGGGUGAGUAACGCGUAAUCAACCUGCCCUUCAGAGGGGGACAACAGUUGGAAACGACUGCUAAUACCGCAUACGAUCUAAUCUCGGCAUCGAGGAUAGAUGAAAGGUGGCCUCUACAUGUAAGCUAUCACUGCAGGAGGGGAUUGCGUCUGAUUAGCUAGUUGGAGGGGUAACGGCCCACCAAGGCGAUGAUCAGUAGCCGGUCUGAGAGGAUGAACGGCCACAUUGGGACGGAGACACGGCCCAGACGCCUACGGGAGGCAGCAGGGGGGAAUCUUCCGCAAUGGACGAAAGUCUGACGGAGCAACGCCGCGUGAGCGAUGACGGCCUUCGGGUUGUAAAGCUCGGUUAAUCGGGACGAAAGGGCUUCUUGCGAAUAGUGAGAAGGAUUGACGGUACCGGAAGAGAAAGCCACGGCUAACUACGUG
rnacentral:rRNA from 1 species